CGAGAACAUGGCUUUGGAGUCAGAUGGACUUGGGUCCAAAUCCUGACAUUACAGCUUCCAGGUGUGAGUUGGGAAAAGCUGCUAACCUCCCCUAGCUGUAACAUUAUUCUCAUCUAAUGGGUCAGGAAGCAAAGAUCAAGAAAGACCAAUUGGCAAACAUGAGUCCUGUGUUGUCAUCUAUAAAAAAAGAUUCACCUUGCAUGAUUCUUAUAAGGAAUGAGAAGAUAAGCAGGCCCAGCCAAUCACUUCCAUCUCCAAAACGACUUUUCCCCCUGAAGAAACGGCAAGCAGUAACUCAGAAACCACUGCCAUCGAUCAGCAGCUCACCAUGUGCUAUGCCAAGCAUCACUUCACACAGUGUUUACACGCAAUCCUCAGAACAUCUGCUAGGUAGCUACUGUCUGUCCAGUUUUACAGUUGAAGAUGAGAAAUGGAGGAUCCAGGAAAGUCACAGAACUGAAAACAGAAACAGCAGUCGACCCAGAUCUGCCUGCUGCUAAAGCUUAUGCUACACCCCAAAAGGAUGGUGCAGAAGGGAACCUAGAG
rnacentral:lncRNA from 1 species